CUUUCAUCUCAAGGCAACUGAUCUCUCAAAUCACCUACACGUUAACAGCUUUCCAGGACCCCUGCUUUGCAAGUGAGAGACACUGCUGAGAAAGAGCAGUGAAACUCAGGAGAAUGGGGACCUUACCCAAGGAUGUGACAAAUCUCUUUUCAAAAUAGACCCAGACUGAGACAAGAAAAAGGGCAUUGGCCUUUUCCAGAGUGCUUCUGCCUGAAGAUUCAUAGGAACUGAAUUCCCUCAGUGACUCCUGGGAAGCGUGGAGCCCAUGAUUACAGUAGGGGGUCUACAGUGUGAGCUGCCAGAACAGAGAAUUUCAUCUGUGCCUUGGACAGCACCCAUCGUUGGCCUGCACCAGUGUUUGGAUGCCUCUUUUCUGUUCCAGAAGUUUCCAAUUGGCUUACCCUCAGACAAACAGAGCAAAGAACUGGAUGUGAACUUUGAGGUGGGGGAGGGUGAAGUUCAUUCCCAGCACAAUCCAUGAUGGAGGGAUUUUCACCCUCCAGAGAGCCUGCUGGCAUCAGCAGACUUCCAUUGCUUAAGGAUGCUUGCUUUGAGCUAGAGCAGUCCUGCUGAGGUACCAGGCCUGUGUCUGCUGCUGGGAGUUGAGCACAACACAGGAAUCCUUCUCAGGUCUCAUCCUCAUUUAUGCUUCAUGACCUUGUGGCAACUGGUUGCUUAAGCAGGCCUGUAUUUCGUACAAUGUUCUUAUCUAAGAAGACUAAAAUGAGCUGUCCACACACACUCUCAAGCAUAGAUCAUAAACAAAGGGGAACGUAUUCGUGAUAUGGCACAAAGGUGUAUUUCUAAAGUCAUCCUUAAUGUCUCAAAAUCUAUGAGACCUGGGUAAACAUGUUUGUAUUCCUUUUGUUCUUGUUAAACAGGAUAUAGUGGGAAGCAAAUACAUGUGUCUCUUUUGCUGUGUUCUGGGGAACUCAUGGACAUUAGUUGUAUGCCCAAAGCUGUGAUGACUCUCAUUGCUUCUGUAAUGAAACAGUUUCUUUUCAGAGAACACCCUUUUCCCCCCUCCAUUUUUAUUUAAAUUUGAAACAAGUUUGUUUUACAUAUCAAUCCCAGUUCUUUCUCCCUCCCUUCUUCCCUGCCCCCCCAACUAACACCCUACCUAUCCCAUACCCUUUCUGCUCCCCAGAGAGGGUGAGGCCUUCCAUAGGGGGUCUUCAGAG
rnacentral:lncRNA from 1 species